UACAUAUAUCCAAAUUAUUCCCAAAACGUGCGAAACCGUUUUCGUUAAUUAGAACGUUUCGCGUACGUUUCCGAUCGCCGGAAUAUUCGGCCAAGGUGACUUUCUGCGUCUCGUCUUAAAACCGUAUUGACGCAGGAAAAUUUGAUAUUGUAUUUACGAGAAACUCGAAUACACGCAAAGACCAAAGGUGAUAAACAUAAGUUACGUCUCCUCCUGGCUUUUAUAAAGGAGCAAUCUUAGAAGUCAAUAUGUUGUCAACCAAUUCCGCAUUGAAAUUAUUUCUUCGUUUGAUUUUGGGAUUAAACGUGUGUUUUUGUCACUGUCUUGAAAAUUCAAAAGAUAUAAAUAACAUUAGUUGCGCAGAGUAAUAUGCAAUCACUAUAUUUGUUAUUUAUUAUACGAUAUCAUAACUAGGCCAAUCUUACUAAUCCUGUUACCGAUAUAAUGUAUCUACUAAAUCAAUAUUAUUUAUUUAUUUCACAGUACCGUAAAUUUACCAGCUAUUUUCAAAAGGCUGAUAUCGUUAAAUCUAUCAGAUUACUGAUAUCUUCAGUUACUAUAUAAACAUAGUAGAAUUUUUUAACUAUUAAAUAACAUGCAAGUCAGAAAAUCAGCAAAAAUAUAUGUACUUAUCUUAUUUUUCCUGCGUAAUCUUCACGUGAAAUGUAAAUAAAGGAAUCGAAAGAUUCAAUUAAAAGUAUCUAACAGGAAAUAUUCUAUCACUAGAAACGAUUAUCAGCAAUAUCAACAACAAAUCGUGAUAAAAUACGAAGGUUUGUUUCCUCUGCCACAAAAGAUGUUUAAUAUAUCUUCCUUUUAUUUGAACAAAACAUUCACAUAUUUAUAUUAUGAAUCAAUAUACAUAACAUAAUAUUUAAAUAUUCUUACCUUGUCCCACUAGUUAUAAUUCAAUUAUAAUGUUUGUUAUAGACAAAUAUAUUAAGAGUACAACAUAACGUACACCGAUAAGGAGAUGUAACAUCACAUUUUGAACUAAAAGUAUUUAUUUUAGUGAACAUACGUGAAUAUUAUUCUGUUAAAUUAGAAAUUAGAAGAAAGAAAAUAUCUGUUGAACAACCAACUUGUAGCACACGAUAGCCAGAGAUUGUUGUUCAUUGCUAAAUAUAAGAACAAAAUGCACGUUGUGAUUUUUGCAUCGGUCUUUACUUAGAAUCAUAUUAUGAAAUUUUAUUUUCAUG